UGCGGAGGAUCAUUAUCGUAACAAAAGCGUGAGAGGCGCACGAAGGCUGUCGCCGACUCGAAAGGGUCGUGCACGCCCGACGGCGUCCUCUCGCGUGUAAUCCAUCUCACCCUUUUGUGCAUCACCGCGUGGGCCCGCUCUUUCCGAGAGGGCUCGCGUUUUUAUACAAACCCCUUCUGUAAAAGUGUAGAAUGACAUGAUUUGUUUUGCGCAUGACACGCAAUCAAUACAACUUUCAACAACGGAUCUCUUGGCUCUCGCAUCGAUGAAGAACGCAGCGAAAUGCGAUACGUAAUGUGAAUUGCAGAAUUCAGUGAAUCAUCGAAUCUUUGAACGCACCUUGCGCCCCUUGGUAUUCCGAGGGGCACACCCGUUUGAGUGUCGUGAAAUUCUCAACCUCCUUGGUUUCUUCUAGAAGCCAAAGGAGGCUUGGACUAUGGAGGCCUUUGCUGGAUCCAUGUAAAGCCAGCUCCUCUCAAAUGAAUUAGCCGGGUCCCCUUUGCCGAUCUCGGGCGUGUGAUAAGACACCUCCGCGUCUUUGAUUUCGGCUCUGUUGCCUUUUGGGACCUGCUUCCAAUCGUCUCUCGACGAGACAACGUUCGAGCACGCCUCGACCACCAACCCUUGACCUCAAAUCGGGUGAGACUACCCGCUGAACUUAAGCAUAUCAAUAAGCGGAGGAAAAGAAACUAACGAGGAUUCCCCUAGUAACUGCGAGUGAAGCGGGAAAAGCUCAAAUUUAAAAUCUGGCGGUCUUUGGCCGUCCGAGUUGUAAUUUAGAGAAGCGUCUUCCGCGCCAGACCAUGCACAAGUCUCCUGGAAUGGAGCGUCAUAGAGGGUGAGAAUCCCGUCUUUGGCACGGACCCCUGGUGCUUCUGUGAUGCGCUCUCGAAGAGUCGAGUUGUUUGGGAAUGCAGCUCAAAAUGGGUGGUGAACUCCAUCUAAAGCUAAAUAUUGGCGAGAGACCGAUAGCGAACAAGUACCGUGAGGGAAAGAUGAAAAGCACUUUGGAAAGAGAGUGAAACAGUACGUGAAAUUGUUGAAAGGGAAACGCUUGGAGUCAGUCGCGUCGACCGAGACUCAGCCUUGCCUCGGCUCGGUGUACUUCUCGGAACGACGGGUCAGCGUCAAUUUCGCCCCUCGGAUAAUGGCAAGGGAAAGGUGGCACCUUCGGGUGUGUUAUAGUCCUUUGUCGGACGCGAGGGGUGGGAUUGAGGAACUCGGCGCG
rnacentral:rRNA from 1 species